GCCCAAAGAUCAUUUCUCUCUUCACAUCUCCACCUCAAAGCACCCCUUGAGAAAGGAGCUUCUCGCAUCCUUCUCUCUUGAUUGAAGCGGUUGGAGUGUGCCCUAGCUUCCACCGUUCUUCUCAAUAUCGUCAUUUCUCUCCGUCAAAAUCUCUCUCCAUCCUCUAGUAACCUUCCUUCUCCUCACCCAUUUGAUCUUCCAAGUCUCCCUGCCUGCUCUUGUGGUGAGAAUGGCCCCAAAGAUGAAACUCCCUCAAAGAAGAAAAUCAGUCCGUGCGCUGGAAGAAGGCGUCCGCAGAAAAAGGCAAGCUUCUCAGACCUUCUCUGCUCCUAUUCCAGCUUCAGCGUCUGCACC
rnacentral:lncRNA from 1 species